AAUUAAAGCGGUUUGUUCACGUAGCGAUGUGCUUAUUCAAACGUUUCCGGUCAACGCCGGGUCACGGUGCGUUUCCCGUCAUGCACUCCGUCAGACCACGUGCACGUGCAGCGCGUGCUGACCGCGCCGAGUGGGGCCGUAACCCGCUUCUUACACUCACUUUCGCAUCGUCUUCCCAUCAAAUCCCUCAUCGUAAUGAUAGUAAUUACAGGCAGCCAGCGGACGCUAGCCGCGGACGCGCGAGGCCAAGCGCUAAUGGACGCGUGCGUGCGGCGUGUCCGCGUGCGUGUGUCCCGCGCCUCUUCUCGUAUUUGCCAAGGAAAAAAUUUCCAAUUAACCAACAGCUUGCUCUCAAGUGGAAGUGAGAAAUGGAGAAACUUGGACAAAAGCACAGCGCGAGAACACGCUGGAAUAAUAAAGAGGCGUGUGUGAGGCUGACGCUGUUUACACAGGACGCGCAUGUAUGAAGAUUACCGGCGCGUGAGCAAGGCAGCACCCACCGGGAUCAGAACCCGCUCGUCGCUGGUUGCUGUUGGUUACGAUGACGAUUAUUCUAACAACGGGUUUUGCGUUUUAUCUUGAAGUGAUGUUACAUUCAUACUGAGAUACUGAAGGAAAGCAGCGUUGCAGUACUAGUACAGUACUAGUAGAUGUACUUGGUGUACUUGUGUACUUCCAGGCCUCGACCCUGUGAUGGACUGACCGGACUCUGACCCAACCACUGAACGGAUCAGCGCCAGCUCCCGAGACCCUUUAGACGAACAGCAGUCGUAGAAACGGAACAUCGUCACGUGCAUUUGGUUUGGAGCGUCCGGAGGAAGACGAUGCAGGAGAAAAUGUCCAUUUUCCUCCCUGUGAGGAUGAGAUGACGGAUCCAUGGGUGCUUGGAGUCGACUGAACCCGAUCCCGGCUCACGAUGACGCCGCAACGGGCCGUGAAUCCUGGGUCGUCAGAGGAGGCAGGAAACGGUCCGAACUGGACCUGAAGCUGCAGAACCGGGUCCAUUUAGACGGAGCCGGACAAACAUGCACGGUGUCACAUCUGCGACGUCCUCCACAAAGCAGCUUUGAUUCAAAUGUGGAUCAAGUGCAAGUGUAAAUAAAGUUUUUCCCUGUUCAGGCGGAUGAGAUUUCACCUAAACUUCUCCGGCGGCGCAGCUUAAACGAUGAAGCAUGUCCUUGCGCUGCCUAAUUCCCAAACUUGACUCCUGCUUCUUUGUGCGAGGGCAGGAGGCCGGCGAGAUAAUUCCCACAUUCACAGGGGAAGAUUAACAGCCCUCCGAGGGCUCGACUGCCGCUUGUCAAUCAGGCAACCGGCUGCUCCUCCGCCGGCGCUUUGUUCUGCGGCUGAUGCAAAGAGCACCUACUCACGUCCAUCACUGCAGAAUAUCCUCAGUGAAGUGUUACAAAAGAAAGAAUUGAGAAUAAAGGGGCAAAAACUGAAUUGUGACAUGAAAGAAAGGAAUAUUUGUCAUUCGCUGCACGAUCUUAUUGCUCCACGAGUAUGAGAGGCAAUGCUUUUGUACGGCAACGAAGCCAAGAUAAGGGAACGGCCUGGAAAUUACAUUUGCUAUACGACCAUUUGUAUCAGUUGGGAGAUAAUGAAGGAAAGUUCUAUUCACAUUAUCGUCCUCCGCAGACUUAUCACAAGCUAACUGCUAAUUUAUCCUGGAAGCCCAGAUCACGGGCAUUAAUUAGCAGGAGAUUCCAGGACUGUGACUCUGUCUACGAUCGCGCAACAGAUAUUUAAUGUGCCACUGAUGCAAUCAAUUUCUCUCCACUUUUUUUUUUUUUUUUUGGCACUUGUGAAAUAUCGUGGGGAAACUCAACGCUGUCAAAGCCGCUAAAGUCUUCGCCGCAGCCCGGCACUCGCAGCUGACAUAUUGACGCUAUCUUGUGAAAGUGUGUCAGACGUGUCACGAUGCGCCGCUGAAGCAGCUCGGGGACGGACAGCUCCAAAGACCCGAGGACACGGAGCCGCGCACGCGGGCGCUGCUCUGCACAAAGGACCGGCGCCGUUUGGCCUUUUCGCCGGAUCCGCCGCUCACACAUCCUGCUGAGCUCUUUGAUCAUUUCCUGCUCUUUCCUCUGUUCCUGUCUCUCCCCUCGGUCCCUGUUUAACAGCAGGCAGGAAGUCGAUACUGGUGACAUUUACAGGGGAGUUAUUGAAACUCUUAUUAAUACACGUCUGUGUUGUUUGCAUGAUUUUGCAUCUAAUUGAACGCUGAUUUGGGACACGGCCUCCUAAAACCCCAAACCCAGCAUCAGCCACGCGUUAGAGCGGUCCCACGUGUCCAUAUAUCAGUGUUGACUCUUCCUUUUAUUCCUGAAGCAACUGUUGGGGUUUAAAAUAACAGGUCACAUCAACCGGUGCCACGCGUCAAUAAAAGAACGUGGACGCGCCUCCACUCGAGUAUCACACGUGAACCGGAGCAGCACAUAAACAACCAGGGGUGACAGAUUAUCAAUAAUCCUAUUAUAUGACUUGUCAGCACACAUGACGGAGAACUCGGCCCGUGUGGCGUCGUAACAGCGCUGGA